rnacentral:rRNA from 1 species
GACGAACGCUGGCGGCGUGCCUAAUACAUGCCAGUAGAACGCUGAAGGAGGAGCUUGCUCUUCUGGAUGAGUUGCGAACGGGUGAGUAACGCGUAGGUAACCUGCCUGGUAGCGGGGGAUAACUAUUGGAAACGAUAGCUAAUACCGCAUAACAGUAGAUGUUGCAUGACAUUUACUUAAAAGGUGCAAUUGCAUCACUACCAGAUGGACCUGCGUUGUAUUAGCUAGUUGGUGGGGUAACGGCUCACCAAGGCGACGAUACAUAGCCGACCUGAGAGGGUGAUCGGCCACACUGGGACUGAGACACGGCCCAGACUCCUACGGGAGGCAGCAGUAGGGAAUCUUCGGCAAUGGACGGAAGUCUGAACGAGCAACGCCGCGUGAGUGAAGAAGGUUUUCGGAUCGUAAAGCUCUGUUGUAAGAGAAGAACGAGUGUGAGAGUGGAAAGUUCACACUGUGACGGUAGCUUACCAGAAAGGGACGGCUAACUACGUG